GAGAAAUUCAUUCUUUUAUCAGGAAUCUACCCCCAUGAUAAUGGUAUUAAUCCAUUCAUGGAUCACUUCUUAAAGAUUCUACCUAUCAACACUGUUGCGUUGAGGAUUAAUUGAAUAACCCAUAAACUAUGGGAGACACAGUCAAGCCACAGAAAUAGGUUACACAAAAGAGGUUGAGCACAAUAGUCAUCUUCUCAUGGAUGACAUUUUUUUUACUCAUUUACCAUAUCUAAUCUUACUUUUUAAAAUAAGUGAGUAUGACAUUAAAAUAUAAAAUAGAGAACUUUAAGUUUUAAGCUAAAAAUACAGGAACAUUUGGAUAUCUGACUCACAUAUUUUAAUUAGUAACCAAAUUUUGAGAUAUCUUGAAUAAAAUGUUUUUUUCUAACUCAUUCCAUAAUCUUUUUAUUAGCAUUAAAACAGCCUGGGCAAUGCAUGUACCUUUAAUAAUUUGAUACUGUGGACUUUGUAGAAACCAGCUGCAGACUGGAUAAGACUGUUAUUUCCUUAUCUGCUGGUGGACUCCCUACCUCACUGCCACCGAGUGCGCGAUCCUGUUGACAACACGUUACACUAAAACCGCUAAGCCCAGGGCCUGUGGCUCUCCUUGUCCUCUGUGGGCUUUGGUUCCUCUCCUUCCCACUCACAGGACUGGACCUGUCAAAUGAAUGUCCUUUCCAGCUUAUCUGGCUGUGUGUCUAUAACUGUGCCUUCCUGAAACUGUCCCCAGUUUCUGUAAGCUGCUUGUUUGCGGGCAGAGGUGACAGAUUCACCACAGAUGUCACCUCUCUAUCGUCACUCUUGUUUCCAUGUUCCUUCUGUAUGGGUUCUAUCAACUAUGCAGCGUAUCUUUCAGGGAAGGGAGUUCUGGGAAAGAGAGUGUGUCCGUUUAUGUGUCCAUGAAGUGCCCACACACAUCCCUCUGGAACUCAAAGAUCUACCUGAAAUUUUAUGUCCCCCUCUGCUCCUCACGUGACACCAAUGCGCCUUGUGUCACCACUGUAUGGUGAGUUUAGAACAUAGUUGAAAGACGCUUGUCCAUCUUCAGAACAAGGUGGGGGACACACACAUAAUGCAGUAAUUCCAAUGCAGAUGGCAGAAGCAGCGAGG
rnacentral:lncRNA from 1 species